GAUGAACGCUGGCGGCGUGCCUAAUACAUGCAAGUCGAGCGAACGGACGAGAAGCUUGCUUCACUGAUGUUAGCGGCGGACGGGUGAGUAACACGUGGAUAACCUACCUAUAAGACUGGGAUAACUUCGGGAAACCGGAGCUAAUACCGGAUGAUAUUUUGAAACGCAUGGUUCAAAAGUGAAAGACGGUCUUGCUGUCACUUAUAGAUGGAUCCGCGCUGCAUUAGCUAGUUGGUAAGGUAACGGCUUACCAAGGCAACGAUGCAUAGCCGACCUGAGAGGGUGAUCGGCCACACUGGAACUGAGACACGGUCCAGACUCCUACGGGAGGCAGCAGUAGGGAAUCUUCCGCAAUGGGCGAAAGCCUGACGGAGCAACGCCGCGUGAGUGAUGAAGGUCUUCGGAUCGUAAAACUCUGUUAUUAGGGAAGAACAUAUGUGUAAGUAACUGUGCACAUCUUGACGGUACCUAAUCAGAAAGCCACGGCUAACUACGUG
rnacentral:rRNA from 1 species